CUGAGGCCGUUUACAGUAGUGGUGGAAAACCUCAUGGCCGGUAUCCAUUAUUCGAAAAAGUCAUUGACUCGAGUCAGGUGCCGUCGCGUCAAAGAGCAGGAUCGUCGCGGUCAGCAAGUCGCAGCACAAGUAGUGGCGACGACAGCGCGGAGGUUGUAAGGCUGCGUGAAAGAGUAAGACAACAGGAGCUACAGCAGCAGUGGUUCCAAGCUCAACUUGCACAACAGAAUGCAAUACUGCAGCAAAUAGCGAGCCAACAGAAUAUACAAGUGCCACCACUGGUACCUCCACCUUUUGCACAGGCCGGUUGGCCAUCAGCUUCACCUCAGCCUUUUCACACCCCACCACCUAACCUUGCGGCACCGGGAGACUCACACGUUCAUCCAACAUCGAAUUGGGCGGAUCAAUUCAUUGGAAGUGGCGGAUCAGUUCAACCAGGUGAUGGAGACGACCAAACUUAAGUGAAACAUUGUUGUUCUAUGAAUUUGUAUGAAGUUGUAUGAACCAGGUGAUGGAGGCGGCCAAAUUUCAUCGAACUUGU